UGAAUCCAGCAUUUAACUUCAUUUAACACUGAACUUAACGUUUAAGCUGAGUAAUAUCACGCAGUAAAAAGUCUGUUCUUAUCAGCGUAUCUUAUGUCUCUGUAUCCAGACAGCGUUACCAGUCACUGCUGGAGCGAAUCCCCCGCCGUCUGAAGGCCCUUCACACUGAGGCUUUGGCACAGCGAGCACUGGAUCGCAGGCUCACUGAAGAGAUCCAUCACAUCAAGGAUAACUUCCAGCAACUCAGCAUGGAACUGUCCAGGAUCAGAGACCACGAUGUGUUUGUUUCCCAGCAAACAGAACUUGCUCAUGAGCACCUAACCGACGAGCUUCAACAAGCACAAACCAGCUCAGAUGUGGUCCAGGGCUACCAUGAGCUGUAUGAGCUACAGAGAAGUCGCCUCGAAGCUCAGCUCCUCCAGACGACAGCGGAGAGAGAUUCCUGGAGUCAGCUGACCUACAGCCUCGCCCUCAAGGUGACGGAAAAAAUAUUGUGAUAUUUUUAU